GAUGAACGCUGGCGGCGUGCCUAAUACAUGCAAGUCGAGCGAACGGACGAGAAGCUUGCUUCUCUGAUGUUAGCGGCGCACGGGUGAGUAACACGUGGAUAACCUACCUAUAAGACUGGGAUAACUUCGGGAAACCGGAGCUAAUACCGGAUAAUAUUUUGAACCGCAUGGUUCAAAAGUGAAAGACGGUCUUGCUGUCACUUAUAGAUGGAUCCGCGCUGCAUUAGCUAGUUGGUAAGGUAACGGCUUACCAAGGCAACGAUGCAUAGCCGACCUGAGAGGGUGAUCGGCCACACUGGAGCGGAGACAAGGUCCAGACUACUACGGGACGGCACAGAAGGGAAUCUUCCGCAAUAGGCGAAAACCCGACGGAGCGGCGCCGAGUGAGUGAUGAAGGUCUUCGGAUCGUAAAACUCUGCUAUUAGUGGAGAACAUAUGUGUAAGUAACUGUGCACAUCUUGACGGUACCUAGUCAGAAAGCCACGGCUAACUACGUG
rnacentral:rRNA from 1 species